rnacentral:miRNA from 1 species
UGCACCACCCGUGGUCACUCCU